GAGGUGGGUUGGGGCUCUUUGGUACUAGCUCUUCCAUUUUCAGAUAAAGUUGCUUGUUCUUCUCCGGGUCUCCUGCCAUAAAUCGUGGAUGGACUUUCUAAAAAUCAAUUAUACAUAUGGAUUAAGCCUACAUUAGAGGCUGCAGCAGCAGCAUACAAACCUACAAAUAAUCAGACCUAGAACAAUAAUAUCAUUUAAAUUAACACCUCACUCUUGCUGUGGAGGGAGGAAUAGCAACAUCAAGCAGUGUAGGGAAGUAAUUGGUAGGGAGGAGCAAGAAGAAACCUUACUGCUUGGGGACGCCAUUGACAGAUGAGGAGCAGGCGAGCUUCAGUUGCUUCGGGAGGCAGCCAUAGCACCGCAGCAGAGACAACAGCAUUGAGAGGAGGGAGGCGACGCACAUCAGCUUGGGGAGGUGGCAGAGAUGGUGCAGGUCGGCGCAGUAAGAGGACAACUGGCGGCGGCUUCUCGUCCACCGUUGCAUGUCGCCCCUCCACAACUUGAGCACGAGGGAGGGCCGGUGGAG
rnacentral:lncRNA from 1 species